ensembl:lncRNA
UGAACACCGUGAAAGAGUGCAACAUGAUGCAACAACACAAAAGACAUAAUAUUGAUUGAAAGAAGCCAGACACAGACACUGCAUGAUUUCAUUUACAUGAAGUUCAAAAGCAAGCGAGCUAAUCAAUGGGGUUAGAAGUUGAGACAGGGGUUCCUCUGCAGGGGGUGGCGUCUGGGAAGAGGUGUUUCCAUGCGGUGACCUUAAGAGUCCCAUUGUUUCCUGUGAAUGAUGGGCCCUGGCUGCCUUCCACCCAUAUUUCCAGGCCUUUAGAGUGAGACUGGUCAUGGGCCUCCUUCUGUCCAAUGGCUGUGAAGAGAGCCGGAACAACCCCUUCCUUAGUGUUCAAACUUGGAGUGAGUCUAAUCAAACCUCCAUGCUGUCUGUUGGCCAAGAGGAGGACACAGGACACACGGCAGGCCCGCUUGUGCCCCUCCUGGGGCUGUGAAUCACAUGAAGACUGAGCCAGAUACUCUUGGCAGCUGAAGACUGGGUCUCUGUCUUGGAAAUGAAGAUCAACAAGCAUUAGAGAGGCCUCAAGGAGAUGCUCCCCUACAACUGAGACUUCCUCCUUGAUGGAAUCAGCUGAAGAGGAAGUAACUCUCUCCCGGGGGUAUUUGACUUGUGCCUGAAUAACUCUCCAAGUAAUCUCAUAGACCACUCGUGGUUGGCGCCCGUGGAUGCUGCCUCAGCAGCCUCUGUCUGCUUCAAGAUCCUGUGGCCAGCUGACUGCCAGGUCCCGCUUACUGCUGCCCUCUGGGGAUUGCCCACUGCUGCCUGCCUGAAAUUGCCCACUGCUGCUUGCCCCACCGGAGAAGGCAAUGACACCCCAUUCCAGUACUCUUGCCUGGAAAAUUCCAUGGAUGGAGGAGCCUGGUAGGCUGCAGUCCAUGGGAUCACCGAGAGUCGGACAUGACUGAGU